rnacentral:rRNA from 1 species
UACGUAGGGGGCUAGCGUUGUCCGGAUUUAUUGGGCGUAAAGAGCGUGUAGGCGGCCAGGUAGGUCUGGUGUGAAAACUCGAGGCUUAACCUCGAGAUGUCAUCGGAAACCAUCUGGCUAGAGUCCGGAAGAGGAGAGUGGAAUUCCUGGUGUAGCGGUGAAAUGCGCAGAUAUCAGGAAGAACACCGAUGGCGAAGGCAGCUCUCUGGGACGGUACUGACGCUGAGACGCGAAAGCGUGGGGAGCAAACAGG